CUUCAUCCCCAUUCCACAAAGUAUUUCUCUUCUGGAACCUCUGUGAGAGUUGCAGUUGAUCUGUGCACCUUUUUGCAUGUGUUUGUGUGACUUUUACUCAGACAGCACAUAUUGUCUUCAUUCCCCAUACAUCUGAUAUGCACAUGACAUAGCACAGGCAUUCAGCAAAUAUUUCUUGAGUAAAUAAAUGAAUAGUUAAAUAAACAAAGGGAUGAAUUCCUGUGAUAAUUCUUAAAAGACAAGUAAGAGAGGGGCAGGCAAAGGAAAUAGGACAGAGUUUUCCAGGCAGUGGGUAAAUAUGCACAUACAGAGGGAUGUAAACUUAUUUGAGUAAAUGCAAAUUGUCUGAAAGGUCAUACUGUGCACAGGAGACUGGUAAUGUGGGCAGGGCCAAACCAUGGAGGACCUUGAGAAUCAUGAAGAUGUGAAGAGCAAGAAAGGAUCAUCUGGAUUGGUUAUGUGUUCUACAAGAAUCACUUUGGGAUCAUGAUGGAGAAGAAUGUGAAGCGGGAGACCAGGAGAUCAGGCAGGGUCUUGGGAGGUAUAACAAGGUGGUAGCAUUUGGGGUUGGACAAAAGAGGUCAGAGUCAGGAGAAUUAAUCUUUUGCCCUCAUCACAGCUCAUAUUGAAAUAAAAUGUUCUUUCACAGGACAUGGUUCUGGGCUUGUACUUCACAAAUGCCCUAUCUCCUACAUGUAUCCAGGUCCAGGUUGUUAGUAUUGUGUCUCUAUGGUCCCAAAUAAAAGAAAAAAUGGAAUGGAAGUGCCUCUAGAAUAUGGUGGAAGAUGGGAAAGUUG
rnacentral:lncRNA from 1 species